CAAAAAGUCAACAGGUAGUAAACUGGACUACCUCUAUAACACAAGCAAUACACAUUUGGGUAAUAAAAAGAUGUUCGCCCAAAGCGAAGACCCUUUUAAUAGCCAUACUUCCUACUCACUAAUUGCUUUUGUUAUACUACUCAGCACUAAAUACUGAUGCUGUAAAACUGCUUUACUAAGAGAUCUUAGUACUUUCCCUAAUUGUAUUACAAAUGUAUACAAAAGUAACAGAACGAAAAAUAAUUUUAGAAAGCGAUAGUUUUCAUACCCUUUUAUCUUUACAAUGCCAGCUAAAUGGUAUACUAGCAAGCCAUACUUUUAAGGCGAUUGUAAAAUUUUCAAAUUAAAAGAUGGUCAACUAUUCUUUUAAACGCCUUGGAAACGAACGAAAAUGGCUACACUGACUUUAUUGAUCAAUCUGCUUUACAACAAUGAUCUUCAGACGUUAUGCAAACUUACGAAAAAUAUAUAUAGAUGGCGAAGGAAAAACAAAAAAUGGAGACACAGUGACAUAGACGCAGCGCAAGUUUGUCGAUUCAUGUUGCCACGCCCACCCUAACGCCCAAAACUGCCACGCAAACACUUUUAAAAAAUGUUUUGAUAUUUAUUCACAUGUUUGUUAGGCUUGUAAAUUUCUUUCGAUUUGCCAAACUUUAAAUUCACUUUUAUUGUCGUACAGUAGGCUAGAUUUCCUCUAAAAUCCAAGCAAGAAUUAAAGUAAUAAAGACAGGAUGCCUAAAAACGAAAACUUUGUAAAAAUUCUCAGAGACAAAAUACUGGUGCUAAAAAACAACUCUAGUCUUAAUGGUUAUGGCCACAUCGUGUUGAAAAGUCCCCUUUUACAACGAAUGUGUUGAAAGUAUUCUAAAAUAUCUAAAUAUCUAAAAGUCCAAGAUCCCAACAAUCACAUCUAAAGAGCAUACAGCAAAUAACUAUUUAUUCCUAAGCACGGGCAGCCGCAAAUAGAUCGCGAAAAACUAUUUUAAAAAUUUAAUUAUUCAAGCUUAAGUUGUACAACUAUCUUCGCAAAAAAAAGCCUUACAAUUUUGAAAAAGUAUUUAGAACACCGUUUUAUAUUAUUUGUUUAAGGUCAUAAUCCAUUCGAUUUAUGUGACUAGGGGAUCGUGCAAAAAGUACUUAUGUAUAUAUGUUAUAUACAGGACAUCAUUAAAUCUGCUGAUUUUCAGUCAUAAAUCAAAGGACACGAUUGCUAUAUAUGACACGGGCAAAAAGGAUUAGGACCUCACAGCCGGACACAAGGACUGGAGAGUGCCCAGGCGAAGCUAACUGAUUUUUGUGCGCAAGCAGAGGCUAACAAGCAGCCACAUUACAGUAAUCACUUCCGGGCAGCAACGCACCCAAGCAUCAUAAUGAUACGCCUGGUUUAAUUUAAGCCGAACAGUUAGUGCGGCAGACCAAGGCCAGAUCGUGUCGACGGUGCGAGAAUGCGGGGCAGAUAUCACGAUCGUCAGCGAUCCCUAACGGACUCAAACUAGACCUUCGACCUAUUAAAAAAAGGCAUGCUGGAGGUGUAGCAGCGAAGUCUUUUAACUAUUAGCGCUGCAUUCGGAUAACGGAUUCGUUAAAGCAGUUGGUGGAUUUACAGUGUAUACUAAGCUUCUAGUCUUCCAGCAAUUUCAGCUGACAAUUUCAAAGUCGAAAAAUGAUUAGCUAAUUUAUUGAAAAAAAAACCCUAGUAUAUUUAUAUUCUCUAUUAUAUAAUUGAUAUUGAUAGUUAUAUAUUGAUACA